rnacentral:piRNA from 1 species
UCCUGGGUUAUGUGACUGUGAAC